rnacentral:rRNA from 1 species
GACGAACGCUGGCGGCGUGCCUAACACAUGCAAGUCGAGCGGUCCGGCACUCAACUAAGUGCUUACUUAAGGGGAAGGAAGUAUAGUAGAAGAAGAAAGUAAUAAAAGUGGUGCAAAGUAAGGUAAGCGCGGAGUUGAGUGCCGGAUAGCGGCGGACGGGUGAGUAACGCGUGGGCAACCUACCCUUAAGACCGGGAUAACACCUCGAAAGGGGUGCUAAUACUGGAUAAGCUCCUUGUAGGGCAUCCUAUGGGGAGGGAAGGUAGCGGAAGCUACCGCUUAAGGAUGGGCCCGCGUCCCAUCAGCUAGUUGGUAGGGUAACGGCCUACCAAGGCGACGACGGGUAGCCGGCCUGAGAGGGUGGUCGGCCACACUGGGACUGAGACACGGCCCAGACUCCUACGGGAGGCAGCAGUGGGGAAUCUUGCGCAAUGGGCGAAAGCCUGACGCAGCGACGCCGCGUGAGCGAAGAAGGCCA